UUCCUUGACUUUCUCAAACAAAUAGAACAUCCAAGAAGCUCCUUACCUCUCCAUUUCCUACGGGUAAACACCCAAGUCUGAAAUUUCAGCUUAAUUUGCUCUCUUUUUCUCUCAAGGAAAGUGCUAGGAAGCUCCCUUGAAUCUUCCUCUCAAGUCCACCGGUUCACACACCAAAAGAAAGACAAAACCCCACCCAAAAGUCUUCCCCUUAUCUCAUUUUCUUGGCUGCACCAGACAGAAAGUCCAGCAGCAAGAAGGAAGCUUCUUUCAACUCUCUCAAGCUCUCUACCUCUCAUACUUUCUGGUCCAGCCACUAGGAAAAGAAAAUCCUUUCAUUUAGCAGGUUUUAUUUUGGAGCGGAGGGAGCCUUAGUCGAGUUUGGAAGGAGCUGGUUUUAGUUUUAUAUGUAUAGAUCUUAAAUUAGCAAUAUGAUGUUUAGAUUUGUAGCAUUGUUUAUUUUAGGAUCUAAUGAAAUUGUAUACCUUAAAGUAUUAAGAGAUAUAUUAUGUGAAAUUCCGAAUUUGAACAAUUGGUGAAUUAUGUUAUUCUUUGGAGUACAAUGUAGAUGCUCUGAAUGUCAAGUGAAAGGU